GACGAACGCUGGCGGCGUGCUUAACACAUGCAAGUCGAACGAUGAAGCCGGAGCAUGCUCUGGUGAAUUAGUGGCGAACGGGUGAGUAACACGUGAGUAACCUGCCCUUGACUCUGGGAUAACUGCGGGAAACUGUAGCUAAUACCGGAUACGACCCUCGGAGGCAUCUCCUGGGGGUGGAAAGAAUUUCGGUCAAGGAUGGACUCGCGGCCUAUCAGCUAGUUGGUGAGGUAAAGGCUCACCAAGGCGACGACGGGUAGUCGGCCUGAGAGGGUGACCGGCCACACUGGGACUGAGACACGGCCCAGACUCCUACGGGAGGCAGCAGUGGGGAAUAUUGCACAAUGGGCGCAAGCCUGAUGCAGCAACGCUGCGUAAGGGAUGAAGGCCUUCGGGUUGUAAACCUCUUUCAGUAGGGAAGAAGCGAAAGUGACGGUACCUAAAGAAGAAGCACCGGCUAACUAUGUGCCAGCAGCCGCCGUAA
rnacentral:rRNA from 1 species